UCCUACGGGAGGCAGCAGUGAGGAAUACUGCGCAAUGGAGGCAACUCUGACGCAGCCAUGCCGCGUGCAGGAAGAAGGCGCUACGCGUUGUAAACUGCUUUUAACCGGGAAGAAACCCCCUUACGUGUAAGGGGUGACGUNCCGCGANAC
rnacentral:rRNA from 1 species